UACGUAGGCGGAAGAUUAAGUCAGUAGUGAAAUCCUGCAGCUUAACUGUAGAACUGUUAUUGAUACUGGUUUUCUUGAAUGUAGUUGAGGUAGGCGGAAUGUGUAAUGUAGCGGUGAAAUGCUUAGAUAUUACACAGAACACCGAUUGCGAAGGCAGCUUACUAAGCUACUAUUGACGCUGAGGUACGAAAGCGUGGGGAGCGAACAGGAUUAGAUACCCUGGUAGUCC
rnacentral:rRNA from 1 species